rnacentral:pre_miRNA from 1 species
GGUAUAUCUUGUGAAGAGUGCCGACCCGGUUAGCCAUUAGAUUAUUGUUAAAGAAACGUGGCCACCGGGUAGACAUUCAUUCGCAGGAUAUUUC